rnacentral:SRP_RNA from 1 species
GCCGGGUGCAGUGGCGCGCGCCUGUAAUCCAAGUGACCCGGAGGCUGAGGCUGGCGGAGCGUUUGAGCUCAGGAACGGGUGUCCACACUAGGAUCGGUAUCGAUAUGGUGCUCAUGGAGGAACCCCGGACCAGCAGGUCGUCUAAAGAGGGGUGCACCGGCCAGAAACUGAGCAGGUCAAAGCCCCCGUGCCGCUCACUAGUAGGAUUGCGCUUGUGAAUAGACACUGUAAUACAGCGGGACCCAGUCUCUU